rnacentral:siRNA from 1 species
CUAAAUUUCCUAUUCUCUGGCGC